AGAGUUUGAUCCUGGCUCAGAAUCAACGCUGGCGGCGUGCCUAACACAUGCAAGUCGAACGAGAAAGGGACUUCGGUCCUGAGUAAAGUGGCGCACGGGUGAGUAACACGUGACUAACCUACCCUGGAGUGGGGGAUAACUGAGGGAAACCUUAGCUAAUACCGCAUAACACCUACGGGUCAAAGGAGCAAUUCGCUUCAGGAGGGGGUCGCGGCAGAUUAGUUAGUUGGCGGGGUAAUGGCCCACCAAGACAGUGAUCUGUAUCCGGCCUGAGAGGGCGCACGGACACACUGGAACUGAAACACGGUCCAGACUCCUACGGGAGGCAGCAGUGGGGAAUUUUGCGCAAUGGGGGAAACCCUGACGCAGCAACGCCGCGUGGAGGAUGAAGUCCUUCGGGACGUAAACUCCUUUCGAUCGGGACGAUAAUGACGGUACCGAGAGAAGAAGCCCCGGCUAACUUCGUGCCAGCAGCCGCGGUAAUACGAGGGGGGCGAGCGUUGUUCGGAAUUAUUGGGCGUAAAGGGUGCGUAGGCGGUUUGGUAAGUCUGAUGUGAAAUCUAUGGGCUCAACUCAUAGUCUGCAUCGGAAACUGCCGGGCUUGAGUAUGGGAGAGGUGAGUGGAAUUCCUGGUGUAGCGGUGAAAUGCGUAGAUAUCAGGAGGAACACCUGUGGCGAAAGCGGCUCACUGGACCAUAACUGACGCUGAUGCACGAAAGCUAGGGGAGCAAACAGGAUUAGAUACCCUAGUAGUCC
rnacentral:rRNA from 1 species